AGAAAAAAAGAAACUGGAGUUGGAGGGGGUAGGACUCCCCCUCAAAGGUGGUCGUCUUAGAGAUGUAUGUUUUAGAAACUAACGUACAUAGUAAUUUAAUAAAAAUUAAUUUUUUAUUUAGGGAAAGAAAGACUCACUCUGUAUCUCAGACCCUGGGAGAUGUUGGUGAAGGUGUGGGCUGCAGGAAGUGAUAAUCAUGACAAAAAGAGAAGAAGAUUCACUGGAGAGCUGAGCCAUACCAGCUCCCAAGCCCAGGGGAGUGAGCCUGGGAGCUCCCGGGCUGCGGGUCGUGGGGAGCACGUGUACAAAGCAGCCAUCUCUUGACCAUGGUCUCUCGCAGAUGCAUGGGCUUGCCUUUUCACUGAAGUCCUAGCCACCAUCACACCAUCACACCGCCCUAGCAAGAAGCACAGGAAGCUUGUUAGGAAAACCCCGCUCAGCAGGACGGUCGGGUUGGGAAACCUGUGUUCAAGCCCCCUCUGCCCCUCAUGAGCCCUGAGACCCCCGCAAAGUCCCUCUCUUCCCUCUUCCAUGGAACAGGCCGACUUCACGGAGUGCCUCCCUCACAGGGCCUCCUAGAGAGUGAAAUCGUCAAGGGGGAAAGCGCUUUGAAACUGUCAAGUGCUGAUCAACCACGGGUCCCCGUUCCCCCCCCCCCCUUUGGCAAUGGGACGUCUACUGCCUCCCCACACGUUGACUGGAGAAAGAGAGAGCAGCCCUCUGGGUUAUGAAGAGAAAUGGCCCAUUCUUCCCAUGACCUAGAAAAUCUUCUCCAGGGUCAGAGUUACCUGGAAAAGUUGUGGAGAGCUGGGACACUACCUCUGCCCUGGCCGAAUGAGGCAUGAACAUCACGAGGGCUGAGAGAACUAAGAAAUGAAGGUAUCAGAGCCCUCGGCUGGCUUGAUGUGACCAUUUAAGUACCUCACCUCACCUUUCCUCACCUUUCCUACUUUCUCCAAUAGUUCUGGGUGACCCACGCUUUUCGCUUUUCCUGAACUUCUGUUCUUUCUGCUACACUUCUGGGGUAGGAGGGGUGGUUAUCCUCCUGUUUUGUUUUUUUUGUUUUUUUUUUUUUUUUUGGUGCAACAUGAAACGAUUGGAGACCAAGAGCAGACUCCACGCGUCUCAUCUUCAGAAGCUCUUCACAUGAAAGAAUGAAACACCCCGAGCAGUGCUGACUUGUGCCGUGUGUGGGGCCCGCCGGCACGGGUGUCCGUAGGCAGGUAGGGUGGGAAGAUGCUGACAGGCACAGAACCCUGAGAUGUCUCUUCCUGGUGAUUUCCCGCAGGGGAGGGUGGCUCUAAGGCUUUCUCGAAGGUGUUUAGUGUUGAGACGCUUUCUCCAUGCCUAUGGCUAACGUUGGCAUCGCUGUCUCCCCGCAGGUGUCUGAUGCUGCCUGCAAUCAGACAUACUUUUGGAGAAAAGGUGGCAGGAACCAUUAGAGGUAGCUUUAACCACCUCGUUGCCAACACAGGGAGAGGACUGUGCCGAGGGAGCCCACAAAUUUGCCCAUUUAGUUGGGCACAAGGUGUUAGCCUUCUAGUGUGUCCCAAAUUUAUCCUUGAAAUCUUCCUAAAGAGCAAAGCAGCGCAUUUGUAGGCAUGAAAAACCUGCAGUGUGGCCCUGAGAGCUGGGAUUCCAUCAGCAAUUCUGCACCUGCUAUUGAACACGGCCAGCAUUUUGUUUUACGUAAUGGAGGCCUUGGGGUUUGCCCGGCGGGGAGGGGGGGGGGGAUUCCUUUCAUUUUGCCACAGAACAGGAAGAGCUCCAUGUGGAAGACUGUCAGCUGUUUUCGGGAAGGAUGGAGUUCUACACAUUCUCUCUCCGUGUGUGCAGUGCUCCUGAAUGUUUUAGAGGUUCUCUGGAAGACUAAGGGCGCUUCUAGAAAAAAACAGCAGCUGCAGAGGAGCCUAGACACUUUACCAGGAAGAAAAGCAAACAUUUCCCAGUCCCGACUACACUCAAGCUUCGCCCAGGAAGAUUUUUCACACUGAUAAUUAGAAUCAAUAUAUUUAUGGGGCUCUAUUUUUGCGUGGACCAUCCGGUCGGAGGCCAGUAUUCCUUUUGAAGUCUGGAGAAUUGGAACCUUGGAGGAACUGAACAGUUCCCAGAGAACAGAGCCUCAGGGAAUAAAACUUUAGACAGGCCUUAAGAUCAUUAGCGCUCGUUUUCCUUCACGCACAGAUAUCUCUCUGGAAAACAUUUGGUGGCCAAAGUCAUUAAUGAUCACAUCUAAAACCCUAAUUAAUCCAAAUGGGAAUCCAAUUCUUGACAAGCUGAUUUCAUCUCCAUUAGAUUUUUGGUUUGCAGAAACUGGGACCACUUUGCCCCAUAACAAAAAGCAGUCACACUCCACCCAGUUGAAGUCUGAGUCACUCGAGCUUCAAGUUCCCGGGUGAUUUUGCGUGAGUCAUUGUUCCACAUGAGGAUUUCUAAUUCAGUCAACAAAAAGCACUCAAGUAUUCAUCUUUUGCUACCAAUUACUCAGUUUCGAAAUGACAUGUACCCACAGUAUUCACUGGAUCCAUACCUCUACAAAACGCACCUUAGAACAAUUUGUUCUCUUAAAUGAGUAGCUAGAAAAGUUCCAUUAUGCCAAGCACAAUGUAAUUGUUGCCCUGGCAGACAGCUGCCCAGGAAAGGCACUCUGGACUGUCGUUUGAUACUUGAGAGCCGGCUCCUGUAGGAGGACAGGUGCAUUUAGAACACCAUUGAGGGAUGGAUGGAAACAAAGAAGGGCAUCGAGUGAACUCUAUGAUUUGAGACCAUUAAUUAAAGCUCUCUAAACUUCCGUUUCUUCAUCUGUAAAGUGAAGAUGAUAGUGUUGCCUGCCCAUCUUUCAGGACGAUUAUGAAAAUUCGUUCAAGUUAAUAAAUGUGUAAGCAGUAUGUACUAAGCCCAACGCUGUAACAGUUAUCUCUGCAAAUAUGAAGGUACACUAGUGUUACUUCUUGAUUCAAUGGUCAUUUAGUGGAAAAAUAAAAUAACUUAGAUUACUUGUUAAAAUCCUUACAAAUGUAAAACAGAGGUAGUAGUAAUGGGAGUAAACUCAGAGAGUCAACAUUGGGAGGGAACAGAAAGAUUCUGCAGCCUAAUCCUUUCAUUUUUAAAAAAUUUUUCUAAUGUUUAUUUAUUUUUGAGAGAGGUAAAUGAAAGUGCGAGCAGGGGAGAGGCAGAGAGAGAGA